UCUCGUUCCCAAACGAUAAUCGUUAGAAGCAAUCGUAAAAUCAGUUUAGCGAGAUUGUACAAAUUUCCAAUUUUAUAAACACUAUCGUAAUCGUAAAGCUUUGAAAUCGUUAGCGGAACGAUGAAUCUAAUGUUUUUAGAAUCGGUAGUAUUUAAAUUUGUGUAGCGUCUAGAUUACGUUGUUCUCUGUUGUGACAUGUGACAUUUGUUUUGCUACUGAUUGAAGUUUGGACAAAUUUGUGAACUUUAUAACAUUUUACAAUACGUUCACGGGAGCAGUGGAAAAACGUAAAAGGGCCCAGCGUAUUACCCAAGAGUAACAUGAGUUGUAUGUGGAGGAGUUAGAAGGUAAUGUAGAUUUUAGGGCCCAAAAGUUCGUAGCGGACAAGCCAGAUCUUUUAGAAAAGAUAUGGGAAGGGUUGGUAGCAAAACUAAAUUCUGUGGGAGGACCACAAAAAAGUGUUCAGCAGUUCAGAGAGUACACCAAGAAUAUAACAUGAGCACUCUAAUUACAAUGUACUGCCUGGUAAGUAAACGUCACUGUGUGUUCCAGAGAUUUGUAGAUUGGAAAUUCAAUGUUUGAAAGAAGGCCAGAAAUUUAAGACUAUGUGAAAGAGGAACUGUUUAAUAAUUUCAUUAUGUUGUAAAAAAAAUAAUAAAUACAUUAUUGAAAAUGCUGUAUUAUUAAAUUAUUUCUUGCGAUAUGCCAUUCAUGUAGUAAAUUGUGUUCUUCAUAUUCAAGUUCUUCAUUAUUAUCGUUCUCCUUGUCAUAGACAAUAUUGAUCUCGUCAUUUUCGAUAUUUCUUAUGCGUAAGAUGUUGUGUGAAAUAGCACAUGAGUAUAUAAUUUUUCCUGCAACUUCUGGUGAAUAAUACAGAACUCUGCGGCAGUUGGUAGGUCUUCCUAAAGGUUUCUUCUCGAACGAUCAAGGGGUCGUUUACAUCUCUUAAGAC